GACGAACCUUGCUAACGUUAUUCGGAAUCACUGGGCAUAAAGGGCGCGUAGGCGGCUCCAAAAGUCAGGGGUGAAAUCCGGCAGCUUAACUGUCGCAGUGCCUUUGAUACUGUGGAGCUAGAGGGAGGUAGGGGUCUGUGGAACUUCCGGUGGAGCGGUGAAAUGCGUUGAUAUCGGAAGGAACGCCGGUGGCGAAAGCGACGGACUGGAUCUCUUCUGACGCUGAGGCGCGAAAGCCAGGGGAGCAAACGGG
rnacentral:rRNA from 1 species